AACGAACGCUGGCGGCAUGCCUAACACAUGCAAGUCGAACGAGAUCUUCGGGUCUAGUGGCGCACGGGUGCGUAACGCGUGGGAAUCUGCCCUUUGGUUCGGAAUAACAGUUGGAAACGACUGCUAAUACCGGAUGAUGACGAAAGUCCAAAGAUUUAUCGCCAGAGGAUGAGCCCGCGUAGGAUUAGCUAGUUGGUGUGAUAAAGGCGCACCAAGGCGACGAUCCUUAGCUGGUCUGAGAGGAUGAUCAGCCACACUGGGACUGAGACACGGCCCAGACUCCCACGGGAGGCAGCAGUGGGGAAUAUUGGACAAUGGGCGAAAGCCUGAUCCAGCAAUGCCGCGUGAGUGAUGAAGGCCUUAGGGUUGUAAAGCUCUUUUACCCGGGAUGAUAAUGACAGUACCGGGAGAAUAAGCCCCGGCUAACUCCGUGCCAGCCGCCGCAGUAA
rnacentral:rRNA from 1 species